UCCGGUUUGUCACCGGCAGUCUCCCUAGAGUUCCCGGCCGAACCGCUGGCAACUAGGGACAAGGGUUGCGCUCGUUGCGGGACUUAACCCAACAUCUCACGACACGAGUUGACGACAGCCAUGCAGCACCGGAGCAGGGUGCCCUUUCGGGCUCCUUCCCCUUUCAGGGUCGUACUACCUGCUUGUCCAGCCUGGGUAAGGUUCUUCGCGUUGCGUCGAAUUAAACCACAUGCUCCACCGCUUGUGCGGGCCCCCGUCAAUUCCUUUGAGUUUUAGCCUUGCGGCCGUACUCCCCAGGCGGAACACUUAUCGCGUUGGCUGCGGCACAGAGGGAUUCGACUCCCCCCACACCUAGUGUUCAUCGUUUACGGCUAGGACUAC
rnacentral:misc_RNA from 1 species